GGCAAAACCUAGAAGAGAAAGUGAGAGGGGGAUGUAAACCUCCCCUUCUUCCUUUUCUAGUUCUGUCCCUCCCCAUUACUUUUCUUCUGUUCUUUUGAGAUGUUGGGGUGAAAAGGAUGGUGGAGAAGAUGGUGCGACGUGGGGAGCCCAAAGCCUUGUUUUGGUUCGAUGCUUGGUCCGUAGGGAUGUGGGGAGACGUGCUUCCUGCUCAACGACUGUGAUGGGACGUCUCUAGGGAAAACAACCCCUCUCUGCGCUUGCUUAUCAUCUCGGGCCGGGGGUGCGUUUUCUUUGUGGAUUCAAGAGCCAAAGUACCGACUGAGAUCUGUGUAAACCAACACCCAAGAUUGGAAAAAGAUUAAACAAAGGAUAGAUCUGUAACGGACCAUCCAUGUUUCUGUUAUUAAAUGACGAAGAAAAAAGGAAAGCAUGGUUCUGGA